CUGUGGGCAUUUCAUUGUGUUUUCGUGUGGGCAUUGUGUUGGAGCUUUCAUUGGGUUAGGUGUGGCAUUGGGUUAGUGUGAGCAUUGGGUUGUGUGUGAGCAUUGGGUUAGUGUGGCAUUGGGUUAUGUGGACAUUGGUUCGUGUGGGCAUUGGGUUAGUGUGGGCAUUUCAUUGGGUUAGUGUGGGCAUUGGGUUAGUGUGAGCAUUGGGUUAGUGUGAGCAUUGGGUUAGUGUGAGCAUUGGGUUAGUGUGAGCAUUGGGUUAGUGUGAGCUUUCAUUGGGUAGUGUGGAGCAUUUAAUGGGUAGUGUGAGCAUUUCUGGGUUAGGUGUAGCA
rnacentral:lncRNA from 1 species